rnacentral:rRNA from 1 species
AAUCUUCGGCAAUGGACGAAAGUCUGACCGAGCAACGCCGCGUGAGUGAAGAAGGUCUUCGGAUUGUACAGCUCUGUUAUUAGGGAAGAAAGAGUAUAGUAGGAAAUGACUAUAAAGUGACGGUACCUAAUGAGAAAGCAACGGCUAACUACGUGCCAGCAGCCGCGGUAAUACGUAGGGGGCAAGCGUUGUCCGGAAUUAUUGGGCGUAAAGGGCGCAUAGGCGGAUAUUUAAGUCUGGUGUGAAAGGUUAGGGCUCAACCCUAAGACUGCACCGGAAACUGGAUAUCUUGAGGACAGGAGAGGAAAGUGGAAUUCCACGUGUAGCGGUGAAAUGCGUAGAUAUGUGGAGGAAUACCGAUGGCGAAGGCAGCCCCCUGGGAUAAUACUGACGCUCAGACACGAAAGCGUGGGGAGCAAACAGG